rnacentral:rRNA from 1 species
GUGAGGAAUAUUGCACAAUGGGCGAAAGCCUGAUGCAGCGACGCCGCGUGGGUGACGAAGGCCUUCGGGUCGUAAAACCCUUUUGGUGGGGACGAGUGAGGACGGUACCCAUCGAAUAAGUCUCGGCUAACUACGUGCCAGCAGCCGCGGUAAAACGUAGGAGGCGAGCGUUAUCCGGAUUCACUGGGCGUAAAGCGCGCGUAGGCGGUUAGGUAAGUCGGACGUUAAAGCCCCUGGCUCAACUGGGGGAGGUCGUUCGAUACUGCUUGGCUUGAGGAUGAGAGAGGAAAGUGGAAUUCCCGGUGUAGCGGUGGAAUGCGUAGAGAUCGGGAGGAACACCAGUGGCGAAGGCGGCUUUCUGGCUCAUUUCUGACGCUGAGAGCGCGAAAGCGUGGGGAGCAAACGGGAUUAGAUACCCUUGUAGUCC